GCAGGCGUAGCUCAGUUGGUAGAGCAGCGGCCUUUUAAGCCGUGGGUCGUGGGUUCGAUCCCCACCGCCUGCACCA
rnacentral:tRNA from 1 species